rnacentral:rRNA from 1 species
GAUGAACGCUGGCGGCGUGCCUAAUACAUGCAAGUCGAGCGAACGGACGAGAAGCUUGCUUCUCUGAUGUUAGCGGCGGACGGGUGAGUAACACGUGGAUAACCUACCUAUAAGACUGGGAUAACUUCGGGAAACCGGAGCUAAUACCGGAUAAUAUUUUGAACCGCAUGGUUCAAAAGUGAAAGACGGUCUUGCUGUCACUUAUAGAUGGAUCCGCGCUGCAUUAGCUAGUUGGUAAGGUAACGGCUUACCAAGGCAACGAUGCAUAGCCGACCUGAGAGGGUGAUCGGCCACACUGGAACUGAGACACGGUCCAGACUCCUACGGGAGGCAGCAGUAGGGAAUCUUCCGCAAUGGGCGAAAGCCUGACGGAGCAACGCCGCGUGAGUGAUGAAGGUCUUCGGAUCGUAAAACUCUGUUAUUAGGGAAGAACAUAUGUGUAAGUAACUGUGCACAUCUUGACGGUACCUAAUCAGAAAGCCACGGCUAACUACGUGCCAGCAGCCGCGGUAAUACGUAGGUGGCAAGCGUUAUCCGGAAUUAUUGGGCGUAAAGCGCGCGUAGGCGGUUUUUUAGUCUGAUGUGAAAGCCCACGGCUCAACCGUGGAGGGUCAUUGGAAACUGGAAAACUUGAGUGCAGAAGGGGAAAGUGGAAUUCCAUGUGUAGCGGUGAAAUGCGCAGAGAUAUGGAGGAACACCAGUGGCGAAGGCGACUUUCUGGUCUGUAACUGACGCUGAUGUGCGAAAGCGUGGGGAUCAAACAGGAUUAGAUACCCUGGUAGUCCACGCCGUAAACGAUGAGUGCUAAGUGUUAGGGGGUUUCCGCCCCUUAGUGCUGCAGCUAACGCAUUAAGCACUCCGCCUGGGGAGUACGACCGCAAGGUUGAAACUCAAAGGAAUUGACGGGGACCCGCACAAGCGGUGGAGCAUGUGGUUUAAUUCGAAGCAACGCGAAGAACCUUACCAAAUCUUGACAUCCUUUGACAACUCUAGAGAUAGAGCCUUCCCCUUCGGGGGACAAAGUGACAGGUGGUGCAUGGUUGUCGUCAGCUCGUGUCGUGAGAUGUUGGGUUAAGUCCCGCAACGAGCGCAACCCUUAAGCUUAGUUGCCAUCAUUAAGUUGGGCACUCUAAGUUGACUGCCGGUGACAAACCGGAGGAAGGUGGGGAUGACGUCAAAUCAUCAUGCCCCUUAUGAUUUGGGCUACACACGUGCUACAAUGGACAAUACAAAGGGCAGCGAAACCGCGAGGUCAGGCAAAUCCCAUAAAGUUGUUCUCAGUUCGGAUUGUAGUCUGCAACUCGACUACAUGAAGCUGGAAUCGCUAGUAAUCGUAGAUCAGCAUGCUACGGUGAAUACGUUCCCGGGUCU